AUUGAACGCUGGCGGCAUGCCUUACACAUGCAAGUCGAACGGUAACAGGUCUUCGGAUGCUGCCGAGUGGCGGACGGGUGCGUAAUACAUCGGAACGUGCCCGAUCGUGGGGUAUAACGGAGCGAAAGCUUUGCUAAUACCGCAUACGAUCUACGGAUGACAGCAGGGGACCGCAAGGCCUUGCGCGGACGGAGCGGCCGAUGGCAGAUUAGGUAGUUGGUGGGAUAAAAGCUUACCAAGCCGACGAUCUGUAGCUGGUCUGAGAGGACGACCAGCCACACUGGGACUGAGACACGGCCCAGACUCCUACGGGAGGCAGCAGUGGGGAAUUUUGGACAAUGGGCGAAAGCCUGAUCCAGCCAUGCCGCGUGCAGGAUGAAGGCCUUCGGGUUGUAAACUGCUUUUGUACGGAACGAAAAGACUCUUUCUAAUAAAGAGGGUCCAUGACGGUACCGUAAGAAUAAGCACCGGCUAACUACGUG
rnacentral:rRNA from 1 species